rnacentral:rRNA from 1 species
CCUACGUGCGGCAGCAGUGGGGAAUUUUGCACAAUGGGGGCAACCCUGAUGCAGCGACGCCGCGUGAUUUAGAAGGCCUUCGGGUUGUAAAAAUCUUUUGUAUGGGAAGAAAAUGACAGUACCAUACGAAUAAGGACCGGCUAAUUACGUGCCAGCAGCCGCGGUAAUACGUAAGGUCCGAGCGUUGUCCGGAAUCAUUGUGCGUAAGGGGUACGUAGGCGGAUAAGCAAGUUAGAAGUGAAAUCCUAUAGCUCAACUAUAGUAAGCUUUUAAAACUGUUCAUCUUGAGGUAUGGAAGGGAAAGUGGAAUUCCUAGUGUAGCGGUGAAAUGCGCAGAUAUUAGGAGGAAUACCGGUGGCGAAGGCGACUUUCUGGCCAUAAACUGACGCUGAGGUACGAAAGCGUGGGUAGCAAACAGGAUUAGAUACCCGAGUAGUC